AUUUAAUACACACAAAAAUCCGAAACUAAACUUUUUACCUAAUUUGAAACCUUUUUGAUAUUUAUUAGAAAUUUACUGUUGGUUAUUUCUUGCUACUGCUUACAUAAAGAAAGAAUACAAUAAUAAAAUUUAGAUAUUUUUUGUUUAUUUAUUAUGUUCAAAUAUUCUUUAGCUAUACGACAAACAUCCAUUUAUUAACAAAUAAAACAUACAUUUUGUUUAAUGAACGAACGCAAAUAUUAAUAUUUAUACAUCUACGUCAUAAACCUUAUUUUGUGUUGAAAAACAAGCAUUGCUAGAAAUUUCCGCUUUGAAAUAAAUAUUUGGGAAGCGGAAUCGAGAACCAGAAAAAGUUAAUGCCAUUCAAAACGAUCCACAUUAAACCAGAAUGCCACGAAAAAUUCCCAAACUCAUCGUGAGUUCCUUAAAAUUGAAAAGUAACCGUCACUCACAAGCUUUCCACGUCGUUACAAAGCAGCUAAACUAGUUAUAAACUAAAUGUAUUUACAAAAACUAAACUAAAAGUAUUUAAGCUUACAAAAACAGAAUCAUGUUUACGCCAGAUGAAUCAACCAACUGAAAUAGAGAAAUAAAGGUGCCAAAUUAAUUCGCAGGGCAGCACGACGUAAGAACAUAAAAGUGUGUUUGCAUAUAUUAACAUAUUUUCUAUAUCGGAAUAUUAUUCCCUGGCGCCCCCAAAAAAUGUGCUGUAAUCUCGAUGUCUACGACAGCGUCUAGGAAUUGGCUGCGCAAACACAUCAAAGUGGCCAAAAGUGAAAUAUGUGGACUCACCUGGCGCCAAUUGGAUGGCAAUCGCAACGCGUAUGCUAAUUGCCGAUGACGAACGCCAGGAGUCUUUAACAAGAAUUUGCCAAAUUAAAUUCAAACGUCGCCUGUCCAAUAGUUUUGAAAGUGAAGUGAAGCCACCUCGCCGAGCAACUUUUAUCCGGCGAAUCCAUUAUAGAAGCCGUUGGAACCUGUUUGCUGUCGUCCAAAAUGCCCGACGAUGUCUAAUUGGUUUAUGGUCGGAAUUGAGUUGUGUUCGGCCACAAAAAGAUUUAUCUUCGCAUGGCCAAAACGGAAAUUCUGUAGCUAGGAGCCUUGGUGUGCAUUUCUAUAACUAUAUUCUGUGCAAAAAAUAUUAAUACAAUUUUAUACCAUAAACUGUAGUAGUUAGUAUGAGGAAUCAUUCCCUUUCAGACUGCCUGGCCAUUUAGCACACUUAGGAAAUCCCCCAAAGGUUCCCCAUCCCAAGCGCUGAUCUCAAAGCAAACAUGCGAUGAAUAAUAUACAUAUGUUUAUUACUAUUGAUAUUUGCACUUCAUUAGAAGUGCGAACAAUGCGCAAAUUCCAUUUCACGGAGUUUGCAUCCACAAAAAGUACACAAAAUGCCGAAAUAGUCUAAAUUAUAUGUGAUGCAUUGUAGGAGUAGUACAAGUAGAAAUAUAUCGGAUAUUUGCUCGAAAA